UGGGACGUAGCCAAGCGGUAAGGCAACGGGUUUUGAUCCCGUCAUGCGUAGGUUCGAAUCCUUCCGUCCCAACCA
rnacentral:tRNA from 1 species